rnacentral:rRNA from 1 species
AAUGCUGACAUAAGUAACGAUAAAGCGGGUGAAAAGCCCGCUCGCCGGAAGACCAAGGGUUCCUGUCCAACGUUAAUCGGGGCAGGGUGAGUCGACCCCUAAGGCGAGGCCGAAAGGCGUAGUCGAUGGGAAACAGGUUAAUAUUCCUGUACUUGGUGUUACUGCGAAGGGGGGACGGAGAAGGCUAUGUUGGCCGGGCGACGGUUGUCCCGGUUUAAGCGUGUAGGCUGGUUUUCCAGGCAAAUCCGGAAAAUCAAGGCUGAGGCGUGAUGACGAGGCACUACGGUGCUGAAGCAACAAAUGCCCUGCUUCCAGGAAAAGCCUCUAAGCAUCAGGUAACAUCAAAUCGUACCCCAAACCGACACAGGUGGUCAGGUAGAGAAUACCAAGGCGCUUGAGAGAACUCGGGUGAAGGAACUAGGCAAA